GAUGAACGCUAGCUACAGGCUUAACACAUGCAAGUCGAGGGGAAACGGCAUCGAAAGCUUGCUUUUGAUGGGCGUCGACCGGCGCACGGGUGAGUAACGCGUAUCCAACCUGCCCAUCACUUGGGAAUAACCUUGCGAAAGUAAGACUAAUGCCCAAUGACAUCCCACGAAGGCAUCCGAAUGGGAUUAAAGAUUUAUCGGUGAUGGAUGGGGAUGCGUCUGAUUAGCUUGUUGGCGGGGUGACGGCCCACCAAGGAAACGAUCAGUAGGGGUUCUGAGAGGAAGGUCCCCCACAUUGGAACUGAGACACGGUCCAAACUCCUACGGGAGGCAGCAGUGAGGAAUAUUGGUCAUGGGCGAGAGCCUGAACCAGCCAAGUAGCGUGCAGGAUGACGGCCCUAUGGGUUGUAAACUGCUUUUAUAAGGGAAUAAAGUGGGUCACGUGUGACUUUUUGCAUGUACCUUAUGAAUAAGGACCGGCUAAUUCCGUG
rnacentral:rRNA from 1 species